GGGCUGGGACUGGGGCAGGAGGCCGAGAAGCGCUGCUCGGGGGCUGCAGCUCCUGAUCUGAAGGCGGCUGCUGCUCAGGGGAGUGGGGCCCCCGGAGAGGUGAAGCUCCAUCGCAGCUGUCACAAAGUGCUUCCCUUGGAAGGAUGAAGCCCACCACCAAGGGCUGCGCUGAGGGUGCUGCAGCCUCCAUGUGCCUACCCAAGAAGAGAUGAGAAGGAUGUGAGUGCUGCAGAAAAUAGUUUUUCUCCAGCCCCAUCUGUGGCUCGUCCUCUUGAAAGUGUGUGUAAGGGACACUGGGCUCGCACACAAACCUGCUAUAUUGGGCACACCUGAUGUCAAAGAUUUGUCCCUUAUGCAUGAUUUGGGUGGUACAAGAUCCUGGGGUGCCUUUUAGAAAGGGCUGGGAAUUACCUGAACAUCCCCUUCCUCACUGAAACUCGUAGUGGUAUCCAAAGCUCAGGAUGUGAUCCAGGGCUAGCACUUUCAACACAUUUGUAUAUGCAUUGGUUAACUAAAUAUUCUCCUAGACACUGUAUCAGUGCCCUUAACUCCAACAUGACAGUAACUAUAAGGAUAUUACACAUGAUCCCAUGGCAAAUCAUACUGGUUCUUACCUACUUUUACCUGAACAGCAUCCCUUGUCCUUAACAACACCACAGCCCAUGUCCUCUUCACUUCUGUAAGUGUCAAAUUCUCUUGGUCAGCCCAUUGGAGGUAGAGAGCCCAGGAGGCAAUGGGAAGCCCACAAAUAGCACAUGGGAAGAAGAGAAUCCCCUUGGAGGGCUGGGAUUAAAUGACACUACAGCUAGCACUAAAAAUAAUCCACACCUGGUAGCACUUAAAACACUAAAGUUUGUCAGGUAUGAAUGGUCAGCAGCCCAAGCUAAAACUGAACCAGCUCUGAUUUUUGAAGUAGAACAACUUGAAGGUAGUGAUUGCUCAUUUUGUCACCGACUGUAGUUCUGUAGAACCCACCACAAUUUAAGAAUGAAAAAUCUUCACAAAGACUGGAAAUAAAUAUGGUGCAGGGUCCUGCUGCUGAAGAA